rnacentral:rRNA from 1 species
ACUACGGGUGGCUGCAGUGAGGAAUAUUGGUCAAUGGACGAGAGUCUGAACCAGCCAAGUAGCGUGAAGGAUGACUGCCCUAUGGGUUGUAAACUUCUUUUAUAUGGGAAUAAAAUGUUCCACGUGUGGGAUUUUGUAUGUACCAUAUGAAUAAGAAUCGGCUAACUCCGUGCCAGCAGCCGCGGUAAUACGGAGGAUCCGAGCGUUCACCGGAUUUAUUGGGUUUAAAGGGACCGUAGGUGGAUUGUUAAGUCAGUUGUGAAAGUUUGCGGCGCAACCGUAAAAUUGCAGUUGAACAUGGCAGUCUUUAGUAAAGUAGAGGUGGGCGGAAGUCGUGGUGUAGCGGUGAAAUGCGUAGAUAUCACGAAGAACUCCGAUUGCGAAGGCAGUUCACUGGACUUCAACUGACACUGAGGCUCGAAAGUGUGGGUAUCAAACAGGAUUAGAUACCCCAGUAGUC